rnacentral:rRNA from 1 species
CAGUCGCCGCGGUAAUACGGAGGGUGCAAGCGUUAAUCGGAAUUACUGGGCGUAAAGCGCGCGUAGGUGGUUUGUUAAGUUGGAUGUGAAAGCCCCGGGCUCAACCUGGGAACUGCAUCCAAAACUGGCAAGCUAGAGUACGGUAGAGGGUGGUGGAAUUUCCUGUGUAGCGGUGAAAUGCGUAGAUAUAGGAAGGAACACCAGUGGCGAAGGCGACCACCUGGACUGAUACUGACACUGAGGUGCGAAAGCGUGGGGAGCAAACAGGAUUAGAUACCCCCGUAGUCCCUGUCUCUUAUAC